rnacentral:ncRNA from 2 species
AGUAUUAUAUAUAAUGGAUUGGGUAUAAGUCUGCAAAAUGGGCAGACGUUUCUACCAACCGCCAAACUGGUUGACUACCGCAUGGGUAGUCAAUUUU